CCUACGGGGGGCAGCAGUGGGGAAUAUUGGACAAUGGGGGGAACCCUGAUCCAGCCAUGCCGCGUGUGUGAAGAAGGCCCUCGGGUGGUAAAGCACUUUCAGUGAGGAAGAACGCCUGGUGGUUAAUACCCAUCAGGAAAGACAUCACUCACAGAAGAAGCACCGGCUAACUCCGUGCCAGCAGCCGCGGUAAUACGGCGGGUGCGAGCGUUAAUCGGAAUUACUGGGCGUAAAGCGCGCGUAGGUGGCUUGAUAAGCCGGUUGUGAAAGCCCCGGGCUCAACCUGGGAACGGCAUCCGGAACUGUCAAGCUAGAGUGCAGGAGAGGAAGGUAGAAUUCCCGGUGUAGCGGUGAAAUGCGUAGAGAUCGGGAGGAAUACCAGUGGCGAAGGCGGCCUUCUGGACUGACACUGACACUGAGGUGCGAAAGCGUGGGUAGCAAACAGGAUUAGAUACCCCAGUAGUC
rnacentral:rRNA from 1 species